UGGCCAGGUCUUAAAUUUUCCUCCAUGUGUGGACGUGGUACUUGUGUGAUGCAACCCAAUCUAAGUGGUGACCGGCAGAACUGUGCGGUGGUGCUUUGAUACUUGAAAAUGAACAGUUUGGAAAGAGAGGAGAAGAUUUUAUUUCCACAGGACUAGGCUAGCACAAGCACUUGGAGUGAAAUGAAAGGGAUAACAGGUAGAAGAAAAGGCAGAAAAAGAAGAGAAAUGCAUGUUUAGAUUAAUACCAGCAGAGUACAUUUGCAAGUCUUAAGUCAUUUUCAGAAGAUGUGUAA